GACAAAGCGAAUAAGGGGACAUAGAGGAUGUCUUGGCAUCUCGUGCCGACGAAGGACGCGGUAUACUGCGAAAAGCGAUAACGAGGCGUAUACAGCCGCAAGAGUUAUCGGUAUCCGAAUGGGGAAACCCGGUGCGGCGAACCCGCAUCAUGCGCAAGCAAGGGAACCGCGUGAACUGAAACAUC
rfam:Beta vulgaris subsp. vulgaris contig166139.1, whole genome shotgun sequence.